GAGUUUGAUCGUGGCUCAGAUUGAACGCUGGCGGCAUGCCUUACACAUGCAAGUCGAACGGCAGCACGGGAGCUUGCUCCUGGUGGCGAGUGGCGAACGGGUGAGUAAUGCAUCGGAACGUAUCCUGGAGUGGGGGAUAACGUAGCGAAAGUUACGCUAAUACCGCAUAUUCUGUGAGCAGGAAAGCGGGGGACCUUCGGGCCUCGCCGCUCUUGGAGCGGCCGAUGUCGGAUUAGCUAGUUGG
rnacentral:rRNA from 1 species